rnacentral:rRNA from 1 species
UACGUAGGGUGCAAGCGUUGUCCGGAAUUAUUGGGCGUAAAGAGCUCGUAGGCGGUUUGUUGCGUCGGCUGUGAAAUCCCGAGGCUCAACCUCGGGUCUGCAGUCGAUACGAGCAAACUAGAGUGUUGCAGGGGAGACUGGAAUUCCUGGUGUAGCGGUGAAAUGCGCAGAUAUCAGGAGGAACACCAAUGGCGAAGGCAGCACUCUGGGACGUGACUGGACGCUGAAGACGCGAAAGCGUGGGG